UUGCUCUUAUAAUACCUCGAUGGACUGUUCUAAAUAAGUUUACGGAUGCGAGUUUAAAUCUGUCGCGUGUUUCGCGAUGCUAUAUCUUGGGAACUGGAUGAAUUUGAUGAAUUCUGACACACAUACUGCGCAAUAUUUCAAUAUUUGAUGAAUAGAAUACGGAUAUAAACACGUAUGUAUUUAUUUAUGAGGGAAUGAAUAACACAUUACGAUCCUGACAUCUUAAACGCAGUCGAUCGUUCUUGGAAAUGAUACAUGUAUUUUUAGAAAAUAAACGUCCCGUGAUUUAUUC